AGUGAACGCUGGCGGUAGGCCUAACACAUGCAAGUCGAACGGCAGCACAGUAAGAGCUUGCUCUUACGGGUGGCGAGUGGCGGACGGGUGAGGAAUACAUCGGAAUCUACUUUUUCGUGGGGGAUAACGUAGGGAAACUUACGCUAAUACCGCAUACGACCUACGGGUGAAAGCAGGGGAUCUUCGGACCUUGCGCGAUUGAAUGAGCCGAUGUCGGAUUGGCUGGUUGGCGGGGUAAAGGCCAACCAAGGCGAGGAUCCGUAGCUGGUCUGAGAGGAUGGUCAGCCACACUGGAACUGAGCCACGGCCCAGACUCCUACGGGAGGCCGCAGUGGCGAAUAUUGGCCAAUGUGCGCAAUCCUGAUCCAGCCAUACCGCGUGGGUGAAGCAGGCCUUCGGGUUGUAAAGCCCUUUUGUUGGGAAAGAAAAGCAGCAGGUUAAUACCCCGCUGUUCUGACGGUACCCAAAGAAUAAGCACCGGCUAACUUCGU
rnacentral:rRNA from 1 species